ensembl:lncRNA
ACCUCUGAGGGUGUGCUGCGGUAUCUGGCACCAAGACGUUAGCAGCAGAUCCUUUAGGUCCUGUACGUUGCAAGGUGGGGUCUCCAUGGAUCAGACCUGUUUGGCCAGCACAUCCCACAGAUGAUAUAUGAUAUGAGAUAAUCAGUGUUAUUCACUCGGAUUGUUUUAAAGGUUAUAACAUGAGCAGUUUUGCCUCAAAUUGCCUCACAUUGAGUUAGAGGUUAUAACGUGAGCAGCUUUGCCUCAAAUUGCCUCAGAUUGUGUUUGAGGUUAUAACGUGAACAGCUUUGCCUCAAAUUGCCUCAGAUUGUGUUUGAGGUUAUAACGUGAACAGCUUUGCCUCAAAUUGCCUCAGAUUGUGCUAGAGGUUAUAACAUGAGCAGCUUUGCCUC